rnacentral:tRNA from 1 species
CGGGGUAUGGCGUAGUCCGGCUAACGCACCUGCUUUGGGAGCAGGGGAUCGCAGGUUCGAAUCCUGCUACCCCGA